UGUAAUUAGUAUUGAGAGGUUUUGGCUUGGAAACUUUCUUCAAUUGUCAAGAAUCGAGCAACAUCAGUAGCAGUUUAUAUUUUCUUCCUUUAAUGGUACCAUGAGAAAUUGGGAAUUUACUUUGAUUAGUUUCUUAUGUUGGAGUAAUUGCUCAAUGUUUGGGGUGGUUGAAUUUAUUGGUUGGUUGGUUGCAAAAGAAGAGCCCUAGGAUGUUGAGUUGUUUGAAACUCAUGAUCCAAUCGUUAGCUAGAAGGCAUCAAAGGUGCUCAGUUCCAUGUUCGACAGUGACUCUUUGGGCAAGCUGUUCUACAUCCUCUGUUGUGGUGAAUCCUCAUAUUUAGAGGAUGUGAUGUCUGAUGU